GAUGAACGCUGGCGGCGUGCCUAAUACAUGCAAGUCGAGCGAAUGGAUUAAGAGCUUGCUCUUAUGAAGUUAGCGGCGGGCGGGUGAGUAACACGUGGGUAACCUGCCCAUAAGACUGGGAUAACUCCGGGAAACCGGGGCUAAUACCGGAUAACAUUUUGAACCGCAUGGUUCGAAAUUGAAAGGCGGCUUCGGCUGUCACUUAUGGAUGGACCCGCGUCGCAUUAGCUAGUUGGUGAGGUAACGGCUCACCAAGGCAACGAUGCGUAGCCGACCUGAGGGGGUGAUCGGCCACACUGGGACUGAGACACGGCCCAGACUCCUACGGGAGGCAGUAGUAGGGAAUCUUCCGCAAUGGACGAAAGUCUGACGGAGCAACGCCGCGUGAGUGAUGAAGGCUUUCGGGUCGUAAACUCUGUUGUUAGGGAAGAACAAGUGCUAGUUGAAUAAGCUGGCACCUUGACGGUACCUAACCAGAAAGCCACGGCUAACUACGUGCCAGCCGCCGCAGUAA
rnacentral:rRNA from 1 species